rnacentral:rRNA from 1 species
GGGUCAGUAGGUUGGUCGUGCCACCGGUACGUACUGGUCUCACUGGUUCCUCCUUCCUGAAGAACCGUAAUGCCAUUAAUUUGGUGUUGCGGGGAAACAGGACUGUUACUUUGAAAAAAUUAGAGUGUUUAAAGCAAGCUAACGCUUGAAUACAUUAGCGUGGAAUAAUGAAAUAGGACGAUCGAUCCUAUUUUGUUGGUCUCUAGGAUUGACGUA